rnacentral:lncRNA from 1 species
UUAUAUAGAUUUAAGUACCAAUAGGCAUGGCAUGGCACAAACAUGUACCAUGCCAAUUCCUAACAGACAGCAACACUAGCAUGGUGCUGGUUACAUGCCAAUACUUGGCAUGAUAUCGAGCUAGCGUGCACCAAGCACUGACAUGGCCUGGUAUGGCACAUCAUCACAUGGUAUGUAGUGUGUGAAAGCCAGGUCAUCAUGCCACCAGUAUGCGAUAUGUCAAUCCUUCAUGCAAAUAAGAUAGAUAGACAGCAAUAUACCAAUUGAUCUCGCACCUAAUGAAGCGGUCAUAAAGUGUUUCAAGAAGAAAAUGCGCAUGGGGAAACAAUUAUGAUCUAAGAAGCCAAUGCCCAUAAAGUAUCAAUUGGCAAUCUUAAUACUCUAUCGAAUCUUAUAAAAUUGGUGAGGAAGGUUGGUGAUCUAGAUUGACACUAACGCAUGAAUAAUGAGGGAACAAAAUCAAAUAUUUGGUUUUAUAGUGUCUCGCACAGGAAUCUUGGCACCACUUCAAGUUUGCAGUUUUCAACUUUUUAAAAAUGAAAUCCAGUUUCUAUAUUUCUUUCUGAAAACUGAAAAGUUGAAACAUAUUUGGUAGUCACUUGCAUUGUGUUUGGCCUCAACAAUGGUGGUGGUACGUGCAGCUACAGAGGCAGUGACGGUGCUGAUGAUGGCGGCGGUAGAUGCCACAAAUGGAAACUGGUGGAGGUGGCGGUGGCAGCAAGGUUGGUGGUCAUGGGUGGUUUUGCUUUUCAAGAAUUCUACAAUUUCUAGAAACUGCAUAGCAUUUUUAAAAAAAUGCUAAAAAUAGAAGUAGGGUUAUCAAACAUCAUUGUUGCCUCAGUAUCUGUGUUUUUGAAAAAAGAAAAAUGACAACUGGAAACAGGAUGAUGUCAAACAGAACCUAAGCAAAGCCAAGCUCAGGAUUAGAGUCACAUGGCAACGAAAAUGUCUAGUCGAUGUUCGAGAUUGAAAAUGAUACCAACAUAAGCAAAGGAUACUUAAAAAUAUUUGAAAAAUAAAAAAGAUCCUACUAAAAGAAUGUAGGAAGACUUUAUGACGUAGAAAGCUACACAAUAAUGAAAUUUACUCUCUUUUAUUAACUAACAAUAAAUCAUAAACAAGAACAUUGGGAUUGAAAUCAGAAGUUUAAGAACUUUAUUGAAAAUAUCAUCCAAAACAAGAAUAACUGGAUUUUUAAAAGAACAUAUGGAAAAGAGACAUUCAUACAAGCAUCAAAAUGUAAUGUGGUUUGGAUUAGUUUCUAAUUAGUACUUAAUUUUUUUUCUACACGUACGGUUUCAAAUGAAAUAGUUGGGUUUUGCUUGAUCCCACUGGAACAAAUGCAAGCAACACUGAUGAUGUAAGAGGUGCUUAUAAGGUGCUCUGUGACUGCUGCAAACCUACAAGACCUACAGAAAGGCCUACCUAUCCCAAAGAAUGCUAAAUGCACAGCUACAAAGUUAGGGCUCGAAACAAAUACAUCAAAGGACAAUUUGGAUUGUACCAAGAGGAUGAAAUGGUGGAUGAUCAAUUAAGAUGGUAUAAGCAUGUGUUGCACAAAUCUAAAAUUAGAUUAGUGUUAGAGUCAUGAAUGAAGGACAAGAAAUAAUGAGUUGACAUGACUGGAAGUUGUAAGGACGGAUGUGAAGGAGAAAAUAAUAACAGCUAAAGCAGCUGUUCCUAGAGUCACCAGCCAUUCACCUCAGCCCUCUCAUGAAUGCCAUGUUUGAUUUAUGUACUCAUAACCUAUAUAUAGAAAAACUCUUUAUGCCAUAUAAUCUUCCCAAUCAUGAUCACUAAGUCCAGUGUUCAGGAACAACUAAGACAGGGACUAAGAUCUGGAAUACAUAUAGAAUGAAAAGAAUGCAUCAAAACUUUGAAAGAAGUUCAAAGUUGAGAAAUAUUUUAUAAAAAAUAUAAAUAGUAGUAGCAUUUCCAGGUAUGUUCAUAUUUCUAUAUUCAUGUGAUAAGGAGCACAGGAGGGGCAAUACAAGUAGGAUAGACAAUAGGGGUGAUUCCAUAUACAAACUAAUCUACAUGCAAUCUUUGACAAAAUAAUACAUAAGGUCAGAAAUAAUGCAAACCUAGUAUAAUGCAUAUAAGAUGUACCUAAAAGCAUGUAAAUAUAGCAACCAAAAAGCUGAUGAAAAAGAUAAUAAGCCAUGCAAAUCAAUUAGCAUUCUAACAGAAAGUGCUGAACUGGAAGCCCAAAAGAACAAGAAAGCACUUAGGAUGGCUGCUGCCUUACUCCAAUGCUGUCACACGAGUCACCGCGAUGUACAAUUAAGAUACAAUGAGUCAUCAUUGGUUCGGAAGCAACUGGGUCUUAUCAAUAGGUUAUGAUUCAAUAAUGUUUAUGGCUUGGAGGUUUAUUUCAGAUCCAAAGAGUAGUGUUUCUUGAGAAUCAGAUCAUAGAUAAGACUUUGAAUUUACAACAAAACUACUGGCCCUUCAUAAUUAUAUCCUUACCUUCCAAAAUGUAACAUAAGGGGUCUUCCUAAUGGUUAAUCUAAAGAAAUAAAAGACUGAUCAAAGCAAGAUUUUAAAUCCCGUGAGAUGAGGAUGCCCCGGUUUCUCCAUGGAACAGGACAUCCCACAGUCCUGCCUCAUCCUGGCGACAGUCCUGGUCAUGCAUCCCGAUAGAUAUUCUCCGUCUUUCUCUCAUUCCUCUUU